rnacentral:lncRNA from 1 species
UGAACACAGUUAAUGAUCUGCUGCAUCGUGUUCCCUCGAAAAACAUAAAUUCGAAGCAGUGUAAAACAAAUGUUCGUUCCUAGCUACCCGCCUAUCAUCCAUCCAGCAUAUAAGAAGCUACCCCUGGCACGCUGCUCUCCACGCAUAAGCAUUUCCUGCCCUCCCUUCCUCUGCAUAGCGACACUAUCAACUUUUCAUUCUCAUGAGAUGGUGGAAGAAGGCAUCAAGAAAGUCCAGGUAUUGGGUUAGAAAAAAGGACAGCCAGGAACAGGUCCGUGAUUCCGGUAGACAUGAGAUUUGUUGUCAUCCUUAUAUGGAACCUCGUCGUGAUCCUUGUCGUCAUCAAGGAAGAGGGAAGGAAUGCGAGUUACCUUAAAAUUAGUUCGGUAAUAGAGGGGAUAUGCAUUAGCUUUGAGGUUUUACGCAGACAAACUAAUAUCCGCAUCUCGGGAUAGUUGGCCACAUCGAGUCAGCUCGAUCACCUAGCUGCAGC